rnacentral:rRNA from 1 species
UACGGGGGGUGCGAGCGUUGUCCGGAAUCACUGGGCGUAAAGGGCGCGUAGGUGGCGUGAUAAGGGUGUGGUGAAAGCCCGGGGCUUAACCCCGGGUCUGCCAUGCCGACUGUCAGGCUAGAGUACUGUAGGGGCAGGCGGAAUUCCGGGUGUAGCGGUGGAAUGCGUAGAGAUCCGGAGGAAGACCGGUGGCGAAGGCGGCUUUCUGGGUCUUACCUGACGCUGAGGAACGAAAGCCAGGGGAGCGAACGGG